rnacentral:rRNA from 1 species
GACGAACGCUGGCGGCGUGCUUAACACAUGCAAGUCGAACGGUAAGGCCCUUCGGGGUACACGAGUGGCCAACGGGUGAGUAACACGUGGGUGAUCUGCCCUGCACUUCGGGAUACGCCUGGGAAACUGGGUCUAAUACCGGAUAGGACUCCGGACUGCAUGCUCUGGGGUGGAAAGCUUUUGUGGUGUGGGAUGGGCCCGCGGCCUAUCAGCUGUUUGGUGGGGUGAUGGCCUACCAAGGCGACGACGGGUGGCCGGCCUGAGAGGGUGACCGGCCACACUGGGCCUGGGAUACGGCCCAGACUCCUACGGGAGGCAGCAGUGGGGCAUAUUGCACAAUGGGCGCAAGCCUGAUGCAGCGACGCCGCGUGAGGGAUGACGGCCUUCGGGUUGUAAACCUCUUUCAGCACCGACGAAGCGCAAGUGGCGGUAGGUGCAGAAGAAGGACCGGCCAACUACGUGCCAGCCGCCGCAGUAA